CACGCCGUAAACGGUGGGUACUAGGUGUGGGUUCCAUUUCACGGAAUCCGUGCCGUAGCUAACGCAUUAAGUACCCCGCCUGGGGAGUACGGCCGCAAGGCUAAAACUCAAAGGAAUUGA
rnacentral:rRNA from 1 species